UACGAAGGUCCCGAGCGUUAUCCGGAUUUAUUGGGUUUAAAGGGUGCGUAGGCGGGUUAUUAAGUCAGUGGUGAAAGCCUUCAGCUCAACUGAAGGAUUGCCAUUGAUACUGAUGAUCUUGAGUAUGAUUGAGGUGGGCGGAAUGUGUCAUGUAGCGGUGAAAUGCUUAGAUAUGACACAGAACACCGAUUGCGAAGGCAGCUCACUAAGUCAUAACUGACGCUGAUGCACGAAAGCGUGGGGAGCAAACAGG
rnacentral:rRNA from 1 species